CCUACGGGGGGCAGCAGUGAGGAAUAUUGGUCAAUGGACGAGAGUCUGAACCAGCCAAGUAGCGUGAAGGAUGACUGCCCUAUGGGUUGUAAACUUCUUUUAUAUGGGAAUAAAAUGUUCCACGUGUGGGCUUUUGUAUGUACCAUAUGAAUAAGGAUCGGCUCAAUUCGGGCCAGCAGCCGCGGUAAUAUGGAGGUUCCGAGCGUUAUCCGGAUUUAUUGGGUUUAAAGGGAGCGUAGGUGGAUUGUUAAGUCCGUUGUGAAAGUUUGCGGCUCAACCGUGAAAUUGCAGUUGAAACUGGCAGUCUUGAGUACAGUAGAGGUGGGCGGAAUUCGUGGUGUAGCGGUGAAAUGCUUAGAUAUCACGAAGAACUCCGAUUGCGAAGGCAGCUCACUGGACUGCAACUGACACUGAGGCUCGAAAGUGUGGGUAUCAAACAGGAUUAGAUACCCCUGUAGUC
rnacentral:rRNA from 1 species